rnacentral:rRNA from 1 species
CGGAGGAAAAGAAACUAACCAGGAUUCCCUCAGUAGCGGCGAGCGAAGCGGGAAAAGCCCAAAAUGAAAAGCCAGCUUGCUGGCGUUGUAUUUGAGCGUCUUUGGGGUGUCAGUUCGGGAAAGUGGCAUGGAAAUGCGCGCCGAGGAGGGUGAUAGCCCCGUCCAUCCCGUUCAGGACACUUCGCACUAAGGCGUUUCAGACGAGUCGGGUAGCUUGGGAAUGCUGCUCUAAUUGGUGGUAAAUCUCAUCAAAGGCUAAAUAAUGGUAGGAGACCGAUAGCGAAAAAGUACCGUGAGGGAAAGAUGAAAAGCACUUUGAAAAGAGGGUAAAAAGAACCUGAAACCGUUACGGGGGAAGCGGAUUGCGUUAGCCUGGUGGCUACCUGUGUGUUCAGCCUUUAUGGUGCAUUGAUGCAGGUGGUUAUCUGUCGUGGCUUUUUAGUGACUGAUAUUGAGUUGCUGAAGGGUGAGGGCUCCCCUUUUUGGGUGAGGACGACGGAGUGAUGACGCGAUACGACCCGUCUUGAAACACGGACCAAGGAGUCUAGCGCGGGUGCGAGUCAGAGGGUUGUAAACCCGUGGGCGAAGUGAAAGCAAGUUUUUUAACAAAACGAGCAGUUUGGGGCGGCAUAGAAUCGUUGAUUCUAGGUCUGACCUUGAGCAGUUGCGCUGGGACCCGAAAGAUGGUGAACUAUGCCGGAGUAGGGCGAAGCCAGAAGAAAUUCUGGUGGAGGCUCGUAGCGGUGCUGACGUGCAAAUCGCUCGUCGAACUUGGGUAUAGGGGCGAAAGACUAAUCGAACCAUCUAGUAGCUGGUUUCCUCCGAAGUUUCUCUCAGGAUAGCAGGCCGACACGAGUUGUUUUGUGCGGUAAAGCGAAUGAUUAGCGCACUCGGGGGCGUUUAGCCUUCGGGCGAUUCUCAAACUUUAAAUGCGCAAGGGUACUGGUGCUUUGUUGAGCGGUACCGUUAAAAACGUCGGCCUUGUGGGCCACUUUUGGUAAGCAGAACUGGCGAUACGGGAUGAACCGUAAGCAUGGUUAAGGUGCCAAACUGCCCGCUUAUAGAUCCCACAAAAGGUGUUGAUUCAUCGAGACAGCAGGACGGUGGCCAUGGAAGUCGGAAUCCGCUAAGGAGUGUGUAACAACUCACCUGCCGAAUGAAUUAGCCCUGAAAAUGGAUGGCGCUUAAGCGGGCGACCGACACCAUGCCGUCUGUAAAAGAAAUCAGAUGAGUAGGAGGACGUGGCGGCUGUGUCGAAGCAUGCGUGCAGACGCGUGUGGAACAGCCGCUAGUGCAGAUCUUGGUGGUAGUAGCAAAUAUUCAAGCGAGAUCCUUGAAGGGCGAAGCGGGGAAGGGUUCCACGCGAACAUUGAUUGGGCGUGGGUGAGUCGUUCCUAAGCCGAGUGGCAAUUGCUAAGUAGCGGCGAAAGGGAAGCAGGUUGACAUUCCUGCACACGGAUGUGGAGGCGGUGACGCUUUAAUGAGGGCGAACACGCUGGCGGUGGCGCUGGGCAGAGUUUUCUUUUCUGUUUGACCGCUGAAGCACACAGUGUGGAAUCCGCUUGUCGGGAGAAACACGCGUGCUCGGGCAGAGCGCCGGGGCUAUUCCGGCGUCCAGCUCGCCACCGACGGCCCUUGAAACUUUGCCUGCUGGUAUUUUUAUUAAGAUCCACGCCGUGGCGUACCGAUCACCGCAUCAGGUCCCCAAGGUGAACAGCCUCUGCUCGAUAUGAAAAAUGCAGGUAAGGGAAGUCGGCAAAUUGGACCCGUAACUUUGGGAAAAGGGUUGGCUCUAGUGCUGCGUGGGAGUGGUUGUCGGGUGUUGGCGUUUUUGGACUUACUGAGCGAGCGCGAUGAGCUCUUCGGGGUUUAUUGUGUUUAAUUGGCGAGUCUGGAUCCGCCACGCUCGACGACGCCCACAGCAUGCAGCAGACUAGAACUGCAACGGGCAAAGGGAAUCCGACUGUUUAAUUAAAACAAAGCAUUGCGAGGGCCGUGGCCGGUGAUGACGCAAU